CUUUCUUUCGAGCUCGCCGACCACACCGUUCGUCAUUCUUGAAAGUUAUGCGACCGCCUGGAAAACUCCCUUUUUCGAAGGUGUGGUUGCCAGGUAUCAGAAUGGGGCUUACUCUCGUCGGUGG
rnacentral:SRP_RNA from 1 species